rnacentral:rRNA from 1 species
CUGGGUGUAAGGGUGCGUAGGCGGCUCUGCAAGUCAGGUGUGAAAACCAUCGGCUUAACUGAUGGACUGCAUUUGAAACUGUGGGGCUUGAGUGGAGUAGAGGCAGACGGAAUUCCCGGUGUAGCGGUGAAAUGCGUAGAGAUCGGGAAGAACACCAGUGGCGAAGGCGGUCUGCUGGGCUCUAACUGACGCUGAGGCACGAAAGCAUGGGUAGCAAACAGGAUUAGAUACCCUGGUAGUCCAUGCCGUAAACGAUGAUUACUAGGUGUGGGGAGUCUGACCCUCUCCGUGCCGGAGUUAACACAAUAAGUAAUCCACCUGGGAAGUACGACCGCAAGGUUGAAACUCAAAGGAAUUGACGGGGGCCCGCACAAGCAGUGGAAUAUGUGGUUUAAUUCGAAGCAACGCGAAGAACCUUACCAGAUCUUGACAUCCAACUAAUCCUGUAGAAAUAUGGGAGUGCCCUUCGGGGAAAGUUGAGACAGGUGGUGCAUGGUUGUCGUCAGCUCGUGUCGUGAGAUGUUGGGUUAAGUCCCGCAACGAGCGCAACCCUUGUGAUUAGUUGCUACGCAAGAGCACUCUAAUCAGACUGCCGUUGACAAAACGGAGGAAGGUGGGGACGACGUCA